rnacentral:rRNA from 1 species
GUGUGUGGAGCGUGGGACCUGAUCCUGUAGUAGUCAAGCGAUGGGGUGACGCAGGAAGGUAGCUCCGCCAGUGAAUGGUAGUACUGGUGUAAGCGUGUAGGAGGAGGCAUAGGCAAAUCCGUGCCUCAUGGACUCUGAGACGUGAUGCGUAGCCGAUUGAGGUGAAGUAGAGUGAUCCUAUGCUGCCGAGAAAAGCCUCUAGCGAGUGCAUGUGCGGCCCGUACCCCAAACCAACACAGGUGGUCAGGUAGAGAAUACCAAGGCGAUCGGGUGAACUGUGGUUAAGGAACUCGGCAAAAUGCCCCCGUAACUUCGGGAGAAGGGGGGCCAAAGCACCUGAAGCCCCGUGCGGGCUAGGGUGAGUUGGCCGCAGAGACCAGCGGAAAGCGACUGUUUACUAAAAACACAGGUCCGUGCGAAGAAGCAAUUCGAUGUAUACGGACUGACGCCUGCCCGGUGCUGGAACGUUAAGAGGACCGGUUAGCCCUUUCGGGGGCGAAGCUGAGAAUUUAAGCGCCAGUAAACGGCGGUGGUAACUAUAACCAUCCUAAGGUAGCGAAAUUCCUUGUCGGGUAAGUUCCGACCUGCACGAAUGGCGUAACGACUUUCCGGCUGUCUCAACCACAGGCCCGGCGAAAUUGCACUACGAGUAAAGAUGCUCGUUACGCGCGGCAGGACGGAAAGACCCCGGGACCUUUACUAUAGUUUGGUAUUGGUUUUCGGUUCGGCUUGUGUAGGAUAGGUGGGAGACUGUGAAGCCUUCACGCUAGUGGGGGUGGAGUCAAUCUUGAAAUACCACUCUGGUCGAAUUGGGAAUCUCAACCUCGGACCAUGAUCUGGUUCAGGGACAGUGCCUGAUGGGUAGUUUAACUGGGGCGGUUGCCUCCUAAAGAGUAACGGAGGCGCCCAAAGGUUCCCUCAGCCUGGUUGGCAAUCAGGUGUUGAGUGCAAGUGCACAAGGGAGCUUGACUGUGAGACAGGCGUGUCGAGCAGGGACGAAAGUCGGGACUAGUGAUCCGGCACCACCUGGUGGAAGGGGUGUCGCUCAACGGAUAAAAGGUACCCCGGGGAUAACAGGCUGAUCUUGCCCAAGAGUCCAUAUCGACGGCAUGGUUUGGCACCUCGAUGUCGGCUCGUCGCAUCCUGGGGCCGGAGUAGGUCCCAAGGGUUGGGCUGUUCGCCCAUUAAAGCGGCACGCGAGCUGGGUUUAGAACGUCGUGAGACAGUUCGGUCCCUAUCCGCCGCGCGCGCAGGAGACUUGAGGAAGGCUGUCCCUAGUACGAGAGGACCGGGACGGACGAACCUCUGGUAUGCCAGUUGUCACGCCAGUGGCAUGGCUGGUUAGCCACGUUCGGAAGGGAUAACCGCUGAAGGCAUCUAAGCGGGAAGCCUGUUCCAAGAUGAGGUCUCCCACCCUUUGUGGGUUAAGGCCCCCAACAGACCAUUGGGUUGAUAGGCCAGAAAUGGACGCACAGUAAUGUGUUUUGAGUUGACUGGUACUAAUAGGCCGAGGACUUGCCCAC